AAUUAUCAAACUACAAAAUACCAAGGCUUACUACUUCUGUCUUAAUUCAACCCAUAAUCUAUUCUACGACUAUUAAUUCAACAAUACUUCCAUAUUUUUAUCCGUUCCUCUCCCACUUACUCUCUUUGUGGUUUAUAUAUAUUCAAUUACUGAUCUCCAGCUUACCUAUUGUAUUCAAUUUCUCAAUUCAUCACACAGAAUUCAAUAUCUUCGCUUAUGACUCUCACAGUUUGGCACUCCACACUAACUUUUCAAUAUUC
rnacentral:lncRNA from 1 species